rnacentral:lncRNA from 1 species
UGGUUGGUUGGUUUGUUGGUUGGUUGGUUGGUUGGUUGGUUGGACCCUAUAAGAAACACAUGAGACGGAAACAUGAUUGAUUGAUUGAUCAUGAUCAUUAUUGGUUGAUUGAUCAUGAUCAUGAUUGAUUGAUUGAUUGAUUGAUUGAUUGGUUGGUUGGUUGGUAUGUUGGUUGGUUGGUUGAAAUUCAAACACACAUAAAACUGUUUAAAUAGUGCCAAAACCACAUAAUUUGAUGACCUUGACCUUUGACCUUGUGACCUUCGUCAAGGUCAUUGCUCCACAAGGUCAUUGCAAAAGACCCUAUGGGUCAAGGACCUUUUGUUUAAGAGUUUUGCCUAAAAUAUGGCUUUUUAAAAACCAUCGAUGGGAGUUAUGUCCCUUACAUGAUGGUAAAAUCAAUAUAGUCAUAAUGUAAAAAAGUUGCCCCUUGAAGUACUUAACAUUUUUCACUGCUUAAAUUUUCUGUAUCUAUAACCAUUCAAGAAUUAUAGGGAAAUCAAAGACAUAUGAAAAUCUAAAAUAUGACCUUGACCUUUGACCUUGACCUAAUUUUCUAAGUUAGGAAUCAGGGGACUCAAAUAAAAACAUUCCAGGGUUAUACGGUUAACGGUUUAUGAGUUAAAAAAACAUACCGACAAAUUUAUUCCGUAAAGAUAGAUAACUCCUAUAAAAUUUCAUCGAAUCGCUUCGAUCCAAAUUAGCCAAAAAUUCUGAGGAUGUAACGAACAAUUUGUAAAAAGAAUUUUGUCGCUAUCUUUUUUUGUUACGAAGGAGAUGCACACAGAUGAUAAACAGUGAAUAGGGAGAUAACUCUUACAAAGAAAAUGGUUCGGCUUAGCAGGGUGAAAUUUAAAAGCGCAUAAACUAUACGAUACAAUAUGAGAAAUAUCUAAGCGACAUAUUGCGAAACAAACAUUUCGCAAGAACAAAAUUUGGCGGAAAGAAAAAAAAAAUAAUAAUAAUAAUAAUAAUAAUUAAAAACCAAUUGUUCAGAGAACAAUUGAAAGUCUUUCCACAUCAAAGAAAUUUUUGAUAAGAAGAUAGUUUCUUCAUACUGAUGCGAUAAAUAAUGGUUUAAUUAUAUUUUUGAGUGAUAUAAGGGAGAUAAUAUGCUACUUCCGGUGAAAUGAAUGUCACUUCCGGUCUCAUAUGAUAGCUUCUUUCACACUGAUUCCAAAAAUAUAUAGUUUCUAUAUACUUUUGUAUGUAGAAUGGGAGAUAAUUGGCCACUUCCGGUUUGUUGGAAGUCAUUUUUAGUCUUCAGUAAUCAGUUUAUGUAUCUAUAUGACAAAAUAUAUGGAUUCUGAGUACUUUUAUAUGAAAAAAUUGCAAAAAAGGCUACUUCCGGUUUUCUCAAGGUCACUUCCGGUAGUCAUUUUUCAAGGUCAUUUGUCACCUUAACCUUUUGUACAAGGUCAAAUGCCUUUAUAAUGAACUUAGUUGAAGUUAUAAUCAAAUAACCUCAUAUCAAGACAUUUCAGGGGCAAACUCCUAUAAGAUGCCAUUAAUUGUAAGACAAAUGUAGCAUAUCUUAUUACAAUAAAGCAGACAUUUUGCACUUGUUUUUUAUAUGUAUCUUUAAAGUUCAGAGAAAAUGCAAAAAACAAGCAAAAUCACAAUUGAGAACUUGACCUUGACCUUUGACCUUGACCUAAUUUUCUAAGUUAGGACCCAGGGGACUCAAAUAAAAACAUUCCAGGGUUAUACGGUUAACGGUUUAUGAGUUAAAAAAACAUACCGACAAAUUUAUUCCGUAAAGGUAGAUAACUCCUAUAAAAUUUCAUCGAAUCGCUUCGAUCCAAAUUAGCCAAAAUUUUCUGAGGAUGUAACGAACAAUUUGUAAAAAGAAUUUUGUCGCUAUCUUUUUUUGUUACGAAGGAGAUGCACACACAUGAUAAACAGUGAAUAGGGAGAUAACUCUUACAAAGAAAAUGGUUCGCUUAGCAGGGUGAAAUUUAAAAGCGCAUAAACUAUACGAUACAAUAUGAGAAAUAUCUAAGCGACAUAUUGCGAAACAAACAUUUAUCGCAAGAAAGUUGGCGGAAAAAAAAAAUAAUAAUAAUAAAUAUAAAGCAAUUGUUUUGAAAACAAUUGUUAGGCAGUCUUUCCCCUCUGAUGAAUGGAUAAUUGAUUUUUUUUUAUUGAUUGAUUUGGAAAAAGGGGGGGGGGGGGGGUAUUUGUUUAUUUGUUUGUUUGUUUGCUUUGUUAUGGGGUCUAUAUUAUUAUUAUGUUACCGGAGAAGUUUCAUGUUUAGUUUGGAAAGUUUUUCUUUUAUUUUAGAUACAGCGCGCGCGCAAGAUUGAGGAGACAUCACGUGACGCGGGUUUAUAUUAAGAAAAACUUAGUCUUUUUAAUUUCUUUUUAGGUCGGGACCUUGAACAGACAACAUGUCUAGAGAUGGAAUGUACACAAUGUAAUUUCUUUUGUCAUUGUAGGAAAUUGACAUUUUGAUCACAGUUCACCAGCAGUGCAUGUUUUGGAUUUAAUCGAUCCGGUGUAACUUUAAAACACAUUUAAUGAUUAUUUUUUGAUAAUGUCCAUUUUUCAGCACCUGUUUGUAACACAGAUUAGUAUUUCAAUCUCGGAGCGGACAUUUUAUUGUAGGUUUUUACUGAGAUUGACGGACCUAGCAAGCGAUUUUUACUGCAUUGCCAUUUCUUUUUUCUAGGAAAAGUCUUGAGAGAUAUCUGCAAAAAGUUUUUUUAUGAACCUUCAGUACAUGUAUGCCCUGCUGACUGCAAAUUUUCAGGUCGAUUGGACUUGUAGUUUCAGAGAAUAUGUGGAUUUUUUUUCAGAAGAGACGUAAGAACAAUAAUAAAAUAAAAAUUUUCUUGAAUAAUUGAGAGUUUGUUCCUUCAAUAAACUGUCAUAAAUAAACAGUCAUACAUAUUGAUUGAUUGAUUAGUUGGUUGAUUGAUUGGUUGGUUGGUUGGUUGGUUGGUUGAUUAAACACGUUUGAUAGGGUCACUUAGAACAAGGGAAAAAAAACCUCAAGAGACCUUGCAUCCCGUAUUAAACGCAUGACACGGAAACAUACAUUAAGUGAUUGAUUGGUUGGUUGGUUGGUUGGUUAAACACGUUGGUUAAACAUGUUGGUUUAACACGUUGGUUAAACACGUUGGCUGGUUAAACACGUUUGAUAGGCUCAAUUUAAACAAGCGAAAAAAAAAAACAUCUUGGAUCCCGUAUUUAACACAUGAAACGGAAACAUGCAUUGAUUGGUUGAUUGGUUGAUUGGUUGGUUUUGUUGGUUGGUUAAACACGUUGGUUAAACACGUUGGCUGGUUAAACACGUUUGAUAGGCUCAAUUUUAAACAAGCGAAAAAAAAAAAAAACAUCUUGGAUCCCGUAUUUAACACAUGAAACGGAAACAUGCAUUGAUUGAUUGAUUGGUUGGUUGGUUGGUUGGUUGGUUGGUUAAACACGUUGGUUAAACAUGUUGGUUAAAC